AGAACAGACAAAGAAGACUUUUCAAAUAAAACAAAGUAUCAAGUCGAGCUGCUUCUACCAGCAUUUUCAAACAAACCAGUUUUUAAUGUGUGGAUAGAAGGAACCAAGAGAACUUUUUAUAGAUUAAUUCAAACAAUGAGAUGUAAGACCAGUUGUGUGGAUCAAUUGGAUGGAGACUACCAAUCAUGUUUUACGUGUGAAGGAUAUAUUAUAUGUUCAAGAGGCUCUUUGAUCCAACAACAA